GUUAGGAAUAUUGGACAAUGGGCGAAAGCCUGAUCCAGCCAUGCCGCGUGAACGAUGAAGGCCUUCGGGUUGUAAAGUUCUUUAGCCGAUGAUUAUAAUGACUGUAGUCGGAAAAUAAGCCCCGGCUAACUUCGUGCCAGGAGCCGCGGUAAUACGAAGGGGGCGAGCGUUAUUCGUAAUCACUGGGCGUAAAGCGUGCGUAGGCGGUUUUGUAAGUUAGGAGUGAAAGCCCAGGGCUCAACCUUGGAAUUGCUCUUAAAACUGCAAGGCUCGAAUCUCGGAGAGGAUAGCGGAAUUUCCAGUGUAGCAGUGAAAUGCUUAGAUAUUGGAAGGAACACCAGUGGCGUAAGCGGCUAUCUGGACGAGUAUUGACGCUGAGGCACGAAAGCGUGGGGAUCAAACAGGAUUAGAAACCCGGGUAGUCC
rnacentral:rRNA from 1 species